rnacentral:tRNA from 1 species
GGGAUUAGCUCAGCUGGCUAGAGCGCCCUGCCUUGCACGCAGGUGGCAACGGUUCGACUUCCGUUAUUCUCCA